UGGCCUGAUGUGAUGAGUUUGUUUCAUGUCUCUUCUCUGAAAUUGACGCUGAAGAUAUUCCAAAGACUCUGAUCAGGCGC
ensembl:snoRNA